GUGGGGAAUAUUGGACAAUGGGCGCAAGCCUGAUCCAGCCAUGCCGCGUGAGUGAUGAAGGCCCUAGGGUUGUAAAGCUCUUUCACCGGAGAAGAUAAUGACGGUAUCCGGAGAAGAAGCCCCGGCUAACUUCGUGCCAGCAGCCGCGGUAAUACGAAGGGGGCUAGCGUUGUUCGGAAUUACUGGGCGUAAAGCGCACGUAGGUGGACAUUUAAGUCAGGGGUGAAAUCCCGGGGCUCAACCCCGGAACUGCCUUUGAUACUGGGUGUCUGGAGUAUGGAAGAGGUAAGUGGAAUUCCGAGUGUAGAGGUGAAAUUCGUAGAUAUUCGGAGGAACACCAGUGGCGAAGGCGGCUCACUGGCUCGAUACUGACGCUGAGGUGCGAAAGCGUGGGGAGCAAACAGGAUUAGAAACCCUGGUAGUCC
rnacentral:rRNA from 1 species